rnacentral:lncRNA from 1 species
ACAAUUGGGCACCUUUUAUUUUCUGCUACAUGGUAUGUAUUAUUAUUAGAAAUUACAGUCAUUUUCUAGCAAGAUUAUGAGCUUUAAUCAGUGAUGACCCAGACUUCUUCAGCUUUGGUGAUCACUCACCCAACUUUUUGCCUUUUCUACAGAGAAAAAGUGCAAAGGAAAACACUGGGCAACCUCAGAAGCACACAACAAAUAGGGAGAAACACUCACUCAAUGUUUCUCAAAGCCUAGACAAACGGCUAACUAGAAAUGGGACACCCUGAAGAAACAGGAAAGAGCACAGGAGAUGAAGAACAAACACAGCCAAUGGUGAGGCCCUCGGCAGGGUGCAGGGAGGGGGUGCUAUUGCUAAUAAAAAGAGAAGAAAGAAGAUUUUCAUCUAAAAUGAGAAAAGAGAAGAGAGAAAACAGCUGCAUUUAUACAAGAUGGUAUGAUUUGCUUCUAUUCACAGGCAUAAUGGGAAAAAAUAACUUGAACAUUGGGGUUAAAAUUGGGUUGAAUUGAAAAGAAAUCCAGCUGGAUAAAAUGAUAUCUGAACGGAAAUGUAAGGUAUCCUUGAAAUGGCAUUAAAAAUGUGAGGAAAACAGUCAUAUUUUAGAG